rnacentral:rRNA from 1 species
ACGGAAGGCGCAGUGGGGAAUAUUGCACAAUGGGCGAAAGCCUGAUGCAGCGACGCCGCGUGAGUGAAGAAGUAUUUCGGUAUGUAAAGCUCUAUCAGCAGGGAAGAAAAUGACGGUACCUGACUAAGAAGCCCCGGCUAACUACGUGCCAGCAGCCGCGGUAAUACGUAGGGGGCAAGCGUUAUCCGGAUUUACUGGGUGUAAAGGGAGCGUAGAUGGUAUGACAAGUCUGGAGUGUAAGCUCGAGGCUCAACUUCGGAAUUGCUUUGGAAACUGUCAUACUAGAGUGCAGGAGAGGCAAGUGGAAUUCCUAGUGUAGCGGUGAAAUGCGUAGAUAUUAGGAGGAACACCAGUGGCGAAGGCGGCUUGCUGGACUGUAACUGACAUUGAGGCUCGAAAGCGUGGGGAGCAAACAGGAUUAGAUACCCUGGUA